UCCCCCGUGGUGUAACUGGCAGCACGUCGCGUUCUGGGCGCGGUAGUCGAGGUUCGAAUCCUUGCGGGGGAG
rnacentral:tRNA from 1 species